AUGCAAGUCGAGGGGUAUAGUAGCAAUACUAGAGACCGGCGCACGGGUGCGUAACGCGUAUGCAAUCUACCUUAUACAGAGGGAUAGCCCAGAGAAAUUUGGAUUAAUACCUCAUAGCAUAGCAACUUCGCAUGAAGUCACUAUUAAAGUUCCAACGGUAUAAGAUGAGCAUGCGUCCUAUUAGCUAGAUGGUAAGGUAACGGCUUACCAUGGCUACGAUAGGUAGGGGUCCUGAGAGGGAGAUCCCCCACACUGGUACUGAGACACGGACCAGACUCCUACGGGAGGCAGCAGUGAGGAAUAUUGGACAAUGGGCGCAAGCCUGAUCCAGCCAUGCCGCGUGCAGGAAGACGCAUCUAUGGUGUGUAAACUGCUUUUGUACGGGAAGAAACACUCCCUCGUGAGGGAGCUUGACGGUACCGUAAGAAUAAGGAUCGGCUAACUCCGUGCCAGCAGCCGCGGUAAUACGGAGGAUCCAAGCGUUAUCCGGAAUCAUUGGGUUUAAAGGGUCCGUAGGCGGUUUGGUAAGUCAGUGGUGAAAGCCCAUCGCUUAACGAUGGAACGGCCAUUGAUACUGCCAGACUUGAAUUACUGGGAAGUAACUAGAAUAUGUAGUGUAGCGGUGAAAUGC
rnacentral:rRNA from 1 species